GGGCCCGCACAAGCAGCGGAGCAUGUGGUUUAAUUCGAAGCAACGCGAAGAACCUUACCUGGACUUGACAUCCCCUGCAUAUCUCAGAGAUGAGAGAAGCCCUUCGGGGCAGGGAGACAGGUGGUGCAUGGUUGUCGUCAGCUCGUGUCGUGAGAUGUUAGGUUAAGUCCUGCAACGAGCGCAACCCCUGUUGUUAGUUGCUAACAGUAAGAUGAGCACUCUAACGAGACUGCCGCGGUUAACGCGGAGGAAGGUGGGGAUGACGUCAAAUCAUCAUGCCCCUUAUGUCCAGGGCAACACACGUGCUACAAUGGGCAGAACAGAGAGAAGCAAGGCCGCGAGGUGGAGCGAACCUCAAAAACUGUUCCCAGUUCGGAUUGCAGGCUGAAACCCGCCUGCAUGAAGCUGGAGUUGCUAGUAAUCGCGAAUCAGCAUGUCGCGGUGAAUACGUUCCCGGGCCUU
rnacentral:rRNA from 1 species